AGAGUUUGAUCAUGGCUCAGAUUGAACGCUGGCGGCAUGCUUUACACAUGCAAGCUCGAACGGCAGCACGGGUGCUUGCACCUGGUGGCGAGUGGCGAACGGGUGAGUAAUGCAUCGGAACGUGCCCAUUAGUGGGGGAUAGCCCGGCGAAAGCCGGAUUAAUACCGCAUACGCCCUGAGGGGGAAAGCGGGGGAUCUUCGGACCUCGCGCUAUUGGAGCGGCCGAUGUCGGAUUAGCUAGUAGGUGGGGUAAAGGCUCACCUAGGCGACGAUCCGUAGCUGGUCUGAGAGGAUGAUCAGCCACACUGGGACUGAGACACGGCCCAGACUCCUACGGGAGGCAGCAGUGGGGAAUUUUGGACAAUGGGCGAAAGCCUGAUCCAGCCAUGCCGCGUGAGUGAAGAAGGCCUUCGGGUUGUAAAGCUCUUUCAGGUGGAAAGAAAUGGUCUGCUCUAACAUAGUGGAUCGAUGACGGUACCACCAGAAGAAGCACCGGCUAACUACGUGCCAGCCGCCGCGGUAAUAC
rnacentral:rRNA from 1 species